UACCAGCUCUCCGAGUGGUGUGGAUGUUUAUUGGGCCUAAAGCAUCCGUAGCUGGCUGGACAAGUCCCCUGUUAAAUCCACCGAUUUAAUCGUUGGUGUGCGGGGGAUACUGUUCGGCUAGGGGACGGGAGAGGCAGACGGUAUUUUCGGGGUAGGGGUGAAAUCCUAUAAUCCCGGGAAGACCACUAGUGGCGAAGGCUGUCUGCUAGAACGCGCCCGACGGUGAGGGAUGAAAGCGUGGGGGAGCGAACCGGAUUAGAUACCCGGGUAGUCCCAGCUGUAAACGAUGCAGGCUAGGUGUUUGGACGGCCACGUGCCGUUCUAGUGCCGCAGGGAAGCCGUUAAGCCUGCCGCCGUGGGGAGUACGGCCGCAAGGCUGAAACUUAAAGGAAUUGGCGGGGGAGCACCACAAGGGGUGAAGCUUGCGGUUC
rnacentral:rRNA from 1 species